rnacentral:rRNA from 1 species
UCAUUUGUAGAUUCCUACAUUGUUAAUGCACAAGAUCCCAUUAUAAAUCCAUAAUUAAGCAUGUUCGAGAUAGAUUAAUACUAGGAUGGGUGACCUCCAGGGAAGGCUUAAUGUUUUACAUGCC